rnacentral:piRNA from 1 species
UGUCUCAACCCAUUAGACAGGCGGCUUGUC